rnacentral:rRNA from 1 species
UACGUAGGGUGCGAGCGUUAAUCGGAAUUACUGGGCGUAAAGCGUGCGCAGGCGGUUCGUUGUGUCGGCGGUGAAAGCCCCGGGCUCAACCUGGGAAUGGCCGUUGAAACUGGCGAACUGGAGUGUGGCAGAGGGGGGGUGGAAUUCCGCGUGUAGCAGUGAAAUGCGUAGAGAUGCGGAGGAACACCGAUGGCGAACGGCAGCCCCCUGGGCUGACACUGACGCUCAGGCACGAAAGCGUGGGGAGCAAACAGG